rnacentral:rRNA from 1 species
AUAAGCUAAAUAAGGGCGUAUGGGGAAUGCCUAGGCUCUCAGAGGCGAUGAAGGACGUGAUAAGCUGCGAAAAGCUGCGGGGACUGGCACAUACAGGUUGAUCCGCAGAUAUCCGAAUGGGGCAACCCAGCAUGUUGAAGACAUGUUACUCCGCAAGGAGGGCGAACCCGGAGAACUGAAACAUCUAAGUACCCGGAGGAGAAGAAAACAAUAGUGAUUGCGCUAGUAGUGGCGAGCGAACGCGCAUUAGCCCAAACCAUGUAGCUUACGGGCUGCAUGGGGUUGUAGGACCACGACAUUGGUUGUGUAAUGAACUAGAACGCUUUGGAAAGAGCGGCCAUAGACGGUGAUAGCCCGGUAUAGGUAAAGAUCAUAAACCAUAGUGGUAUCCUGAGUAGUGCGGGGCACGAGAAACCCUGUAUGAAUUUGGCGGGAC